rnacentral:rRNA from 1 species
GACGAACGCUGGCGGCGUGCUUAACACAUGCAAGUCGAACGGAAAGGCCCUGCUUUUGUGGGGUGCUCGAGUGGCGAACGGGUGAGUAACACGUGAGUAACCUGCCCUUGACUUUGGGAUAACUUCAGGAAACUGGGGCUAAUACCGGAUAGGAGCUCCUGCUGCAUGGUGGGGGUUGGAAAGUUUCGGCGGUUGGGGAUGGACUCGCGGCUUAUCAGCUUGUUGGUGGGGUAGUGGCUUACCAAGGCUUUGACGGGUAGCCGGCCUGAGAGGGGGACCGGCCACAUUGGGACUGAGAUACGGCCCAGACUCCUACGGGAGGCAGCAGGGGGGAAUAUUGCACAAUGGGCGGAAGCCUGAUGCAGCAACGCCGCGUGCGGGAUGACGGCCUUCGGGUUGUAAACCGCUGUCGCCUGUGACGAAGCGUGAGUGACGGUAAUGGGUAAAGAAGCACCGGCUAACUACGUG